rnacentral:rRNA from 1 species
GCAAGUCGAGGGGUAACAGGGAGCUUGCUCCGCUGACGACCGGCGCACGGGUGCGUAACGCGUAUAGAACUUACCUUUUACAGGGGGAUAGCCUUUAGAAAUGAAGAUUAAUAUCCCAUAGUAUUGAGAACUGGCAUCGGUUUUUAAUUAAAGAUUUAUCGGUAAAAGAUGGCUAUGCGUCCUAUUAGCUAGAUGGUAAGGUAACGGCUUACCAUGGCUACGAUAGGUAGGGGCCCUGAGAGGGGGAUC